rnacentral:rRNA from 1 species
AUUGAACGCUGGCGGCGUGCUUUACACAUGCAAGUCGGACGAGUGGCGAACGGGUGAGUAACGCAUCGGAACGUACCGAGUAAUGGGGGAUAACUGUCCGAAAGGACAGCUAAUACCGCAUAUUAUUCGAGCGGCCGAUGUCUGAUUAGCUGGUUGGCGGGGUAAAGGCCCACCAAGGCGACGAUCCCUAGCUGGUCUGAGAGGAGGACCAGCCACACGGGAACGGAGCAACGGUCAAGACGCCUACGGGAGGCAGCAGUGGGGAAUAUGGCACAAUGGGCGCAAGCCUGAUGCAGCCAUGCCGCGUGUGUGAAGAAGGCCUUCGGGUUGUAAAGCACUUUCAGCGGGGAGGCGUUACCCGCAGAAGAAGCACCGGCUAACUCCGUGCCAGCAGCCGCGGUAAUAC